rnacentral:rRNA from 1 species
GACGAACGCUGGCGGCGUGCUUAACACAUGCAAGUCGAACGGAAAGGCCCUGCUUUUGUGGGGUGCUCGAGUGGCGAACGGGUGAGUAACACGUGAGUAACCUGCCCUUGACUUUGGGAUAACUUCAGGAAACUGGGGCUAAUACCGGAUAGGAGCUCCUGCUGCAUGGUGGGGGUUGGAAAGUUUCGGCGGUUGGGGAUGGACUCGCGGCUUAUCAGCUUGUUGGUGGGGUAGUGGCUUACCAAGGCUUUGACGGGUAGCCGGCCUGAGAGGGUGACCGGCCACAGUGGGACUGAGAUACGGCCCAGACUCCUACGGGAGGCAGCAGUGGGGAAUAUUGCACAAUGGGCGGAAGCCUGAUGCAGCAACGCCGCGUGCGGGAUGACGGCCUUCGGGUUGUAAACCGCUUUCGCUGUGACGAAGCGUGAGUGACGGUAAUGGGUAAAGAAGCACCGGCUAACUACGUG